GACGAACGCUGGCGGCGUGCUUAACACAUGCAAGUCGAACGGAAAGGCCCUGCUUUUGUGGGGUGCUCGAGUGGCGAACGGGUGAGUAACACGUGAGUAACCUGCCCUUGACUUUGGGAUAACUUCAGGAAGCUGGGGCUAAUACCGGAUAGGAGCUCCUGCUGCAUGGUGGGGGUUGGAAAGUUUCGGCGGUUGGGGAUGGACUCGCGGCUUAUCAGCUUGUUGGUGGGGUAGUGGCUUACCAAGGCUUUGACGGGUAGCCGGCCUGAGAGGGUGACCGGCCACAUUGGGACUGAGAUACGGCCCAGACUCCUACGGGAGGCAGCAGUGGGGAAUAUUGCACAAUGGGCGGAAGCCUGAUGCAGCAACGCCGCGUGCGGGAUGACGGCCUUCGGGUUGUAAACCGCUUUCGCCUGUGACGAAGCGUGAGUGACGGUAAUGGGUAAAGAAGCGCCGGCUAACUACGUG
rnacentral:rRNA from 1 species